GUCCCUCAGUCACACCUGAGCAGGCCUGUGAUCCAGAGCCCCAGAAAACCCUGUCCUGUUUGAUACAUUGGGCUCAGCUUAAAACGUCCCAUCACAAAAUAAUGCCAUGAGGGCGGAUGUCCUGUGGAAGAGAGCUGCUCACUACACUGGAAGAACAAACUCAUCUCCACUGCAAGGAAGUGGAUGGAAGGUGGAAUUGGUGCUGGUCUGCAGUGCAAACCCAAGCCCAGAUGUUUGUUGCUGCCUUCUUCCCGAGCCUGUGCUAGCACCCAGUACCUGCCCAACAGGCCAGAGAGAAGAACCUGCUUGCUGUGACAGUGUUGAAGUUAUCAGCAGGGAGAAGAAACAGACAAACAGGGAUGAGCAAAACCUCAGUAAAUACAAGUUAGAUUAGUUUAAAGGAAUAUAAAACAUCACUUCUACCAGCAUUUCUGCCACUGCUCUAUGUCCCUUGACAAAUUACUAUCCCAGCUCCCGUGUCUGUACAGGAGGGGUAAAUAAAGAGCUUUCUUCCCUGAAUGGGAAGCUAAAAGUUUCUGCAGGACUGGCCUAUGAGUGAGCUUAAAAAUCAAAGCAGCUGCUUGUGAAACAUCACGGACAGAUCAUUGAACACACUUGCCACAUCACUGAAUAUUUCUGCUGCCUUGAGACCAUCUCUUUUCCCAUGAGGUGCAGACUGGAGGGAACUGAGUAGUGGCCUGACUAGGCUCUCUUUCCUGUUGACAUUCAGAAUUGUAUUUUCUGUUUUUUGAAGCACUGUUUUCUGUGCUUACAAACCACAGGAUCUAAGUUCCCUCUGCACAAGAAAUGCAGUGACAAGUAUGAAAUAUGUUUGGAAAAAAUGAAGUACAAAAGGACUCUUGAGCACAUCUACCCCUACAAAAUCCCAAGAACAUACCAAACAUGUCAACUACACUGCAGCAGCCUCUACAUCAUGGUUUUGGUUCAUGCCUCACAUCCGAAUCACUCCACAUUUCAGAGCAGCAGUGCCAUAAGAUCUCAAGUCACCAUGCCUCAUAUCUAGCUACCUAAGCAAAGGGAGGGACACCAAUGACAUGAGCUGUACUGAGCUUGGGACCCCACUGGGCAGCUCCAGUGCCAGACCCUCAAGGAGAAUGAAGCACUCCUAUUCAUGUCUGGCCUAUUACAGUAUCUUGGUGUUCAAGUUUGGUGCAGCUAGAAAAUGAAAACAAGUUAGCAAACCUGGAGGAUAUCAACAUAUCUUCUAAGAUUUAAUUUGACAUUUUGACAGAAAAUAUGGCAAACAACUUUGGCUUCACAGUAUCUGUUGGGAUGCUGGCUGAGUACUUCUCACUUGCUCUUGAUUUCAGCUACUUUUCAAGGUGUCUGGGAUCCUUCUCGCAAAGUGCCCAGAGGCCAUAAUAAAUUAUCACAGUCAGCUGCACUACAAAGUCCCGCUGCAUAGAAGCCAUGGGAGGAAGACACACUGCUCCUAGGAGCAGAGACACCCACAAGACUGGACCAGUGAGUGCAGCACACAGUGAGUCACUUCCCUGGGGAGUGGGAGUGGGACUGGGACUGAGGCACAGAGGAGAUGAACAAACCUCCAGGCUUCAUUCCCAUGGUUUCAGCACAGCACCACCAUUCACAGAGCAGCUUAUCUCCUCCAUGCAGCACAUGGAUCAGCUCACUGAAACCAACAAGGAGUGCAGCUAACAAGACGGAUGUGGUCUGGCCUCAAACUGAGCCAGGCUCUGGUCUGUUUGCUGCUAUUCCAGACUAGGCCCAGC
rnacentral:lncRNA from 1 species